rnacentral:rRNA from 1 species
GGGGAAUUUUGCACAAUGGGGGAAACCCUGAUGCAGCGACGCCGCGUGAUUUAGAAGGCCUUCGGGUUGUAAAAAUCUUUUGUAUGGGAAGAAAAUGACAGUACCAUACGAAUAAGGACCGGCUAAUUACGUGCCAGCAGCCGCGGUAAUACGUAAGGUCCGAGCGUUGUCCGGAAUCAUUGGGCGUAAAGGGUACGUAGGCGGAUAAGCAAGUUAGAAGUUAAAUCCUAUAGCUCAACUAUAGCAAGCUUUUAAAACUGCUCAUCUUGAGGUAUGGAAGGGAAAGUGGAAUUCCUAGUGUAGCGGUGAAAUGCGCAGAUAUUAGGAGGAAUACCGGUGGCGAAGGCGACUUUCUGGCCAUAAACUGACGCUGAGGUACGAAAGCGUGGGUAGCAAACAGGAUUAGAUACCCUGGUAGUCCACGCCGUAAACGAUGAGUGUUAGGUGUCUGGAAUAAUCUGGGUGCCGCAGCUAACGCAUUAAACACUCCGCCUGGGGAGUACGCACGCAAGUGUG